rnacentral:rRNA from 1 species
GACGAACGCUGGCGGCGUGCUUAACACAUGCAAGUCGAACGGAAAGGCCCUGCUUUUGUGGGGUGCUCGAGUGGCGAACGUGUGAGUAACACGUGAGUAACCUGCCCUUGACUUUGGGAUAACUUCAGGAAACUGGGGCUAAUACCGGAUAGGAUCUCCUGCUUCAUGGUGGGGUUUGGAAAGUUUCGGCGGUUGGGGAUGGACUCGCGGCUUAUCAGCUUGUUGGUGGGGUAGUGGCUUACCAAGGCUUUGACGGGUAGCCGGCCUGAGAGGGUGACCGGCCACAUUGGGACUGAGAUACGGCCCAGACUCCUACGGGAGGCAGCAGUGGGGAAUAUUGCACAAUGGGCGGAAGCCUGAUGCAGCAACGCCGCGUGCGGGAUGACGGCCUUCGGGUUGUAAACCGCUUUCGCCUGUGACGAAGCGUGAGUGACGGUAAUGGGUAAAGAAGCACCGGCUAACUACGUG